GUUGCGGACAGUGUCUGGUGGGUAGUUUGACUGGGGCGGUCUCCUCCUAAAGAGUAACGGAGGAGCACGAAGGUUGGCUAAUCCUGGUCGGACAUCAGGAGGUUAGUGCAAUGGCAUAAGCCAGCUUGACUGCGAGCGUGACGGCGCGAGCAGGUGCGAAAGCAGGUCAUAGUGAUCCGGUGGUUCUGAAUGGAAGGGCCAUCGCUCAACGGAUAAAAGGUACUCCGGGGAUAACAGGCUGAUACCGCCCAAGAGUUCAUAUCGACGGCGGUGUUUGGCACCUCGAUGUCGGCUCAUCACAUCCUGGGGCUGAAGUAGGUCCCAAGGGUAUGGCUGUUCGCCAUUUAAAGUGGUACGCGAGCUGGGUUUAGAACGUCGUGAGACAGUUCGGUCCCUAUCUGCCGUGGGCGCUGGAGAACUGAGGGGGGCUGCUCCUAGUACGAGAGGACCGGAGUGGACGCAUCACUGGUGUUCGGGUUGUCAUGCCAAUGGCACUGCCCGGUAGCUAAAUGCGGAAGAGAUAAGUGCUGAAAGCAUCUAAGCACGAAACUUGCCCCGAGAUGAGUUCUCCCUGACUCCUUGAGAGUCCUGAAGGAACGUUGAAGACGACGACGUUGAUAGGCCGGGUGUGUAAGCGCAGCGAUGCGUUGAGCUAACCGGUACUAAUGAACCGUGAGGCUUAACCUUACAACGCCGAAG
rnacentral:rRNA from 1 species